GACGAACGCUGGCGGCGUGCUUAACACAUGCAAGUCGAACGGUAAGGCCCCAGCUUGCUGGGGUACACGAGUGGCGAACGGGUGAGUAACACGUGGGUGACCUGCCCCGCACUUCGGGAUAAGCCUGGGAAACUGGGUCUAAUACCGGAUAGGACCGCACCGUGAGGGUGUGGUGGUAAGUUUUUCGGUGUGGGAUGGGCCCGCGGCCUAUCAGCUUGUUGGUGGGGUAAUGGCCUACCAAGGCGGCGACGGGUAGCCGGCCUGCGAGGGUGGACGGCCACAUUGGGACUGAGACACGGCCCAGACUCCUACGGGAGGCAGCAGUGGGGAAUAUUGCACAAUGGGCGGAAGCCUGAUGCAGCGACGCCGCGUGGGGGAUGACGGCCUUCGGGUUGUAAACUCCUUUCACCAUCGACGAAGGUUUUCUGACGGUAGAUGGAGAAGAAGCACCGGCUAACUACGU
rnacentral:rRNA from 1 species